UACGGGGGGGGCAAGCGUUGUUCGGAAUUACUGGGCGUAAAGGGCUCGUAGGCGGCCAACUAAGUCAGACGUGAAAUCCCUCGGCUUAACCGGGGAACUGCGUCUGAUACUGGAUGGCUAGAGGUUGGGAGAGGGAUGCGGAAUUCCAGGUGUAGCGGUGAAAUGCGUAGAUAUCUGGAGGAACACCGGUGGCGAAGGCGGCAUCCUGGGCCGGUAUUGACGCUGAGGAGCGAAAGCCAGGGGAGCAAACGGG
rnacentral:rRNA from 1 species